GGAGUUACAGCUCAGAGGUAGAGUGCGUGCCUAGCAUGCAUGAGGUCCUGGGUUCAAUCCCAGUACUACCA
rnacentral:tRNA from 1 species